GGCCCGAUGGCAGAUUAGGUAGUUGGUGGGAUAAAAGCUUACCAAGCCGACGAUCUGUAGCUGGUCUGAGAGGACGACCAGCCACACUGGGACUGAGACACGGCCCAGACUCCUACGGGAGGCAGCAGUGGGGAAUUUUGGACAAUGGGCGAAAGCCUGAUCCAGCAAUGCCGCGUGCAGGAUGAAGGCCUUCGGGUUGUAAACUGCUUUUGUACGGAACGAAAAAGCUCCUUCUAAUACAGGGGGCCCAUGACGGUACCGU
rnacentral:rRNA from 1 species